UACGUAGGGCGCAAGCGUUGUCCGGAAUUAUUGGGCGUAAAGAGCUCGUAGGCGGUGUGUCACGUCGAUCGUGAAAACUUUCAGCUUAACUGGGAGCUUGCGGUCGAUACGGGCAUCACUGGAGUUCGGCAGGGGAGACUGGAAUUCAAGGUGUAGCGGUGAAAUGCGCAGAUAUCUUGAGGAACACCGGUGGCGAAGGCGGGUCUCUGGGCCGAUACUGACGCUGAGGAGCGAAAGCGUGGGGAGCGAACAGG
rnacentral:rRNA from 1 species